rnacentral:rRNA from 1 species
CCUACGGGAUGCAGCAGUGAGGAAUAUUGGUCAAUGGGCGAGAUCCUGAACCAGCCAAGCCGCGUGAGGGAAGACGGCCCUAUGGGUUGUAAACCUCUUUUGUCGGAGAACAAAACCCGGGACGUGUCCCGGACUGCGCGUCUCCGAAGAAAAAGCAUCGGCUAACUCCGUGCCAGCAGCCGCGGUAAUACGGAGGAUGCGACGGUUAUCCGGAUUUAUUGGGUUAAAAGGGUGCGUAGGCGGGCCGUUAAGUCAGCGGUAAAAGUGCGGGGCUCAACCCCGUCGAGCCGUUGAAACUGGCAUACUUGAGUUGGCGAGAAGUAGGCGGAAUGCGCGGUGUAGCGGUGAAAUGCAUAGAUAUCGCGAAGAACUCCGAUUGCGAAGGCAGCGUACCGGCGCCAGACUGACGCUGAGGCACGAAAGCGUGGGGAUCGAACAGGAUUAGAUACCCCAGUAGUC